rnacentral:rRNA from 1 species
UACGUAGGGUGCGAGCGUUGUCCGGAAUUACUGGGCGUAAAGGGCUCGUAGGCGGUUUGUCGCGUCGGGAGUGAAAAUCCAGGGCUUAACUCUGGACUGGCUUCCGAUACGGGCAGACUAGAGGUAUGCAGGGGAGAACGGAAUUCCUGGUGUAGCGGUGAAAUGCGCAGAUAUCAGGAGGAACACCGGUGGCGAAGGCGGUUCUCUGGGCAUUACCUGACGCUGAGGAGCGAAAGUGUGGGGAGCGAACAGG